rnacentral:rRNA from 1 species
UACGGGGGGAGCAAGCGUUGUUCGGAUUUACUGGGCGUAAAGGGCGCGUAGGCGGCCACCGCAAGUCGACUGUGAAAUCUCCGGGCUUAACCCGGAAAGGUCAGCCGAUACUGCGGGGCUAGAGUGCAGAAGGGGCAACUGGAAUUCUCGGUGUAGCGGUGAAAUGCGUAGAUAUCUGGAGGAACACCGGUGGCGAAGGCGGCAUCCUGGACCGAUACUGACACUGAGGAGCGAAAGCCAGGGGAGCAAACGGG